rnacentral:lncRNA from 1 species
GAAUUGCCACGUGUUCCGGUAGAGGAGUAUAAGUUCGGGUUGACUGUAUAUUUAUACAUUUGAUCGUAUAAAGUAAAUUUAAAACCAAUUAAAUAACAAAUUAAUCCAUUUAUACUCUCUAAUAUAGAUCAUUAUAUACCUUUUGACCAUAAAUAUACAUGUAAGCAAGAACAAAAUAAAAGAAAACCAAAUUGAAAAAAUAAAAGCCAAAAAAAAAACAAAAACUAAUUGAAGAACAAAUUGAGAGAAAACCCAUAACAAGAGCAGCAAACCCAGAUCUAGAAACAAAGCAACCUACCUGAAAUUGAAUCCGGGCCAUUAAUUUCCCUUCCCUAUAUGUUCAUCUUCAUCCCCUCCACUUUUACUCUUAAACCCACUUUUUUUCUCCUCCAUUGUCGCUCUAUUUGGGUUCUAUUUUCUGCUUGUUCUGAUCUCAAAUAAUCCAUGAAAUUGCAUCAAUUGAUCUCAUUUUCUUCAACACUUUAAUAUCCAAUCAAAUCAGAUUUUGCUCAUCUCUCUUUCUCUCUCUAGAAAUCAAAACCUACAAUAAAGCAAAAACAAAUCAAAUUCACAAAAUUGAAAAGAAGAAUGCCAAAGUACUGUGAAAUUAUGGUUUUCAAACUUAUUGGAAGGGCUUUUCAAACUCAAUUUGUGGCAGACCCUAUCUCCAUGUCCGGUGCCAUCCCCAUGUCCUUGUUUUUUCUUUGAAACGAUGAUACCUAAUCAUUUCUUCCACUGCCUCAGCCAACCUGUUCACAUCAAAACUCCAAAUUCAUUAUUGAAGUUAGUGAAGAGGAAGAUUUUGAGUGGAGAUAUUUUUGGGUUUAGUGUAUCUAUAAGAUGAAGAUGAAUCUUAGGAGUAGAGAUGUAUUUGAGUGUAGGAGUAAAGAAAAAACAGAUCUGUAGUUUAUUUGGGUAGAUGUGUU